GACGAACGCUGGCGGCGUGCUUAACACAUGCAAGUCGAACGGAAAGGCCCUGCUUUUGUGGGGUGCUCGAGUGGCGAACGGGUGAGUAACACGUGAGUAACCUGCCCUUGACUUUGGGAUAACUUCAGGAAACUGGGGCUAAUACCGGAUAGGAGCUCCUGCUGCAUGGUGGGGGUUGGAAAGUUUCGGCGGUUGGGGAUGGACUGGCGGCUUAUCAGCUUGUUGGUGGGGUAGUGGCUUACCAAGGCUUUGACGGGUAGCCGGCCUGAGCGGGUGACCGGCGACAUUGGGACUGAGAUACGGCCCAGACUCCUACGUGAGGCAGCAGUGGGGAGUAUGGCACAAUGGGCGGAAGCCUGAUGCAGCAGCGCCGCGUGCGUGAUGACGGCCUUCGGGUUGUAAACCGCUUUCGCCUGUGACGAAGCGUGAGUGACGGUAAUGGGUAAAGAAGCACCGGCUAACUACGUG
rnacentral:rRNA from 1 species